AUUGAACGCUGGCGGCAGGCUUAACACAUGCAAGUCGAGCGGGGUGAUGGUGCUUGCACUAUCACUUAGCGGCGGACGGGUGAGUAAUGCUUAGGAAUCUGCCUAUUAGUGGGGGACAACAUCUCGAAAGGGAUGCUAAUACCGCAUACGUCCUACGGGAGAAAGCAGGGGAUCACUUGUGACCUUGUGCUAAUAGAUGAGCCUAAGUCGGAUUAGCUAGUUGGUGGGGUAAAGGCCUACCAAGGCGACGAUCUGUAGCGGGUCUGAGAGGAUGAUCCGCACACUGGGACUGAGACACGGCCCAGACUCCUACGGGAGGCAGCAGUGGGGAAUAUUGGACAAUGGGGGGAACCCUGAUCCAGCCAUGCCGCGUGUGUGAAGAAGGCCUUAUGGUUGUAAAGCACUUUAAGCGAGGAGGAGGCUUACCUAGUUAAUACCUGGGAUAAGUGGGCGUUACUCGCAGAAUAAGCACCGGCUAACUCUGUGCCAGCCGCCGCCGUAAGAC
rnacentral:rRNA from 1 species